AGGAGAAGCCCGGAGUAUGGGUACUGAGACAAGGACCCAGGCCCUAUGGGGCGCAGCAGGCGAGAAAACUUUGCAAUGCGCGAAAGCUCGACAAGGUUAAUCUGAGUGGUUCCUGCUAAAGGAACCUUUUGUUAGUCGUAGAACCACUGAUGAAUAAGGGGUGGGCAAGUUCUGGUGUCAGCCGCCGCGGUAA
rnacentral:rRNA from 1 species